rnacentral:rRNA from 1 species
UACGUAGGGGGCAAGCGUUGUCCGGAAUCAUUGGGCGUAAAGCGCGUGUAGGCGGUCCGGUAAGUCCGCUGUGAAAGUCGGGGGCUCAACCCUCGGAUGCCGGUGGAUACUGUCGGGCUUGAGUACGGAAGAGGCGAGUGGAAUUCCUGGUGUAGCGGUGAAAUGCGCAGAUAUCAGGAGGAACACCAAUUGCGAAGGCAGCUCGUUGGGACGUUACUGACGCUGAGACGCGAAAGCGUGGGGAGCAAACAGG